GAUCCUGGCUCAGGAUGAACGCUGGCGGCGUGCCUAAUACAUGCAAGUAGAACGCUGAAGCUUGGUGCUUGCACCGAGCGGAUGAGUUGCGAACGGGUGAGUAACGCGUAGGUAACCUGCCUCUUAGCGGGGGAUAACUAUUGGAAACGAUAGCUAAUACCGCAUAAAAGUCGAUAUCGCAUGAUGUUGACUUGAAAGGUGCAAUUGUAUCACUAAGAGAUGG
rnacentral:rRNA from 1 species